AACAAAAAAUGCUUGCAUGACAGUUACCAAAGCAAGCUUGAACCUGCCGUCUUUUCCUCUCUUAUACGGUUAUACCGAUAAAACAAGAACAACAUUAACAAGUUCAACUCUUUUCUUUAGCCAAAUGUCUUCUUUUCUCUUCUUCUCCAGAAUCACAAAGCACUUAGGAGUACUUUCAUCGAACACUUGAAGGGCAGGAAUACCGACCAAACUCCUACUUGCACCUCCAUCUCCAUUGACCGUUCCGCCCUCUAUAAUCCACCUGGUCCCAUUAAAAUUUUGCGGUGUUUUUUGAAUUAGUUUUCUUUUUUACUCAUUGGUUAUUGUUGUUUUGUAGGACAUUCUCAUGAACCCACAUCGGAGUCUGAGCUUGUCUAGCACCUUAACGGCAUUAGCAAGUUCCGAGGUGGCUCAAUCUCAGUGGCAGAGUAUAUGGAAGAAGUUUUGAUGAAUCCUAAAUUUGGGUUCUAUAUUAAUCGAGAUGUGUUUGGAGUAGAAAGAGAUUUCAUUACAUCUCCUGAAGUAAGCCAGAUGUUUGGUGAGGUAAAUGAGUUAUCGUUAAACUUUUGAAUCUUGUCUGAUUGAGUUCCAUGGAACUUGGAAACCUUGUGUCAUUUUUAAGGUCAUCAAGGCGGUAAGGGAGCUAUUACAUUGAAACAGCAUUUGUACUUGUUAGAUAUUGGAUUCUGGUCACCUCAAUUGUCAUUUUUUGGUGGGUUGCUGUCUGACAAAAUAAUUUCACUUUGACCGUUUCAAUGUAAAGCCAGAUGGUUGGUGUGUGGGCAAUGUGCCUUUGGUAGCAAAUGGGACAGCCAUAAAAAGUUAACCUAGUUGAGCUGGGUGCAGGUCGAGGAACUCUGAUGGCUGAUCUUCUGCGUGGUGCAUCAAAAUUUAAGAGCUUCACAGAAUCGUUGCAUGUACAUAUGGUAGAAUGUAGUUCCAUGUUACAGAAAACUCAGUAACACAACUUGUUUGGAUGAAGAUGAUACCAGUGAUGGUGUUGAGAAAAGGACUAUCAGCAUAUUGGCAGCAGCACCUGUUUCGUGACAUGCUUUGUUAGAGCAGGUUCCAUCAAGAUUUAUGGAGUUGUCUUUUAAAUUGCUUUUCCAUGAAACCAUAUGUAUCGGACCUGUAUUGUUCAAAUGGAAUGAGUUCUCAAUUUUAGUUCA